ACAUUUUAUAUUUUCUUGUAGAUCUUAACAAUUAAUAUGUUAAAUAGCGACCUUGAACUAUUGUUUAAAUAGAGUGCAAUAAAAUUUGUUACUUUUUGCAGACGUCAUUGUUCUUUUCACAUCUGUAUGAAAUCAAAAUUUGCUUUGAUUCAAGCAAUAUUGGUUUCUGUACUACAGUAGGCCUAGGCUACGCUGUGUCCGUUGCGCUAAUAAAAUGGAAUAAAAUCCCCUUUGCGUAAUUAGUAAGACAACUCGUGACCUAAAUUCAAUGGCUGCCGGCAAAGUUUGAAAAUAAAGAUUAAACCAUUAAAGAAAUGGAUCUUAGACACAGCAAUAGAAACAAAUCAAAAAGAACUCUUAAGUGUCAUAAAAAGUCAGCAGAAGAAAAGGGGCUUCUUGAGAUAAAAUUUAUUGAUUCUUUCAUAGGUUCUGGAGAUUAUGAUUUGAAAGCGGUCAAAGCCUUAGAGAAAGGAGAAUUGAUAUGCAAGUAUUAUGGAGUUCUUAUGAGUUGAAGUUUUUCAGACCUGAAAGAGGGGACUGGCAGUUUUCUUUUCUUUUCCAAACAUAAAAGGAAGAAUUUUUGAAUGUUGUUUUGAGACAGUUUAUCAACUAAUGAAGUCCUCAUUUGUGUUACACACUGUCCUCACUUUGAUGCAUACACCCUUGUCCUCAUUUGGCUUUUACAAACUCUUCAGAGAGUUCAAACAUGAAGAUUUUACAGUUGAAGCCAAAGUACUUGUUGUACCUGCAAAUUGAAGUAGAUGUACUCGUUUUGCCACAUUAAAACUUUUCAAAUGUUUAUUUGGAAGGAAAACAAAAAUUAUAAAUUCUGAGUGGGUAAAGGAUUCUAUGAGGAUAGGAGAAGUUCAAAACAUGAAAAACAGUUCAUGACACCUGUUCAAAAAGUGCGAUAGAGAAAAUUUUUUAGAAAAAAUUCUGUUGUUGGAAGGUGCCAGGCAAACUGGAGUGCUUAAAUGCCCAGGAGAUAUAACCAGUAUUGGCCCUUUAUCAAUGGACGAAACUGAAUUACGCAGUGCAUAAUAUCCAGAAAAAAAGAGAGAGAAAAAACAGACCUUAGUAAAACUUUAAAACAUAUCUUUUCUGUCUUAAAAGGCUGUUAUGAUUCACUUCAUAAGAUAGAGAUUAACUCUGAUUUUGUAUAAAUAAUAGUGUUAAUUUCAAAUGUGAAGCACUCAUUGCUUUUGUAUGUUUUUAAAAAACAUAUUAUAGAUAAUUUUUGUGGUGAUGAGCUUUUGUAUGUUUUUGGAGAACAUAUUCUAGAUAAUUUUCUUGGUGAUGAAAAUUGUUUCAACCCUUACAGUGAAGUUGCUUAAGUAGAUUGUCAGUCAAUUACCUUAUUUUUAUAUGUCAGAUGCCUUGUUUAGGCCUUUUGAAAUAUCACUCAUUUCCUUACUUAAAGCUGCAUCCCUCCAGAUGAGCCAAAAUAUUUCAAGAAAAUAUAAUAUUUGGAAACUCCGAAAACACACUAAGAUUGUAAAAAUAGUAUUUAGAUUCAAGAUUCAAGUAAUGUUUAAUAUCUUUUGUGUGAUUAAUGAUUGGUUUUGCAGUAUUAAUCACCAUAUUUCUGCUGCGUUAUUAACACAUUAAAGGGAUACUCAGGCAAAAUAAUGAAAAAAAAAUUAAAAUGAUCUUGUGUACUCAAAUCACGUUAAAUUGACAUUUCUUAAAGUCCCAGCAUAAAUUUCUGUAUUAAAUCUACAUAUUUUUGAUUUGCAGUGUAAAUAUAUCUAUGUAUGUUGAACAAAAUCUAGACGCCAACAGAAUCACUGAAUACUUUUAAAACAAAUCAUGUGACUUGAAUAAACCCUUGAAGUUACAAUAACAGAUAUUGUGGAUAUUGUAUGAUUGAAACAAGUCCAAGUCAUUCAUUUUGGCAUGUUCUUUAACGUUUCCAGAGUUCACUGUGACAACUAAUGUGAAAUCUUAGCGCUCUAACCUGACCCAAGCGGGUCAAGUUAGGAAACUACAAUUUUAUUCUUUAUAUGGAGAAAAAGUUUUUGUUCCUUUGACUGUCUAGUGCAUUCAUUUUGAGGAUAUUUACAGAAUAAUGAAUGAAAAAUUCAAAACUAAGAAAUGAAAAUUUUGCCUGUGUCUCCCUUUGAGGGCUAUCUUUGCAUAUUUCGACCCAUUUUUGUAAUUUAUGUGGAUUGUAAGUGCCGUUUGCAAUAUAUAAAUUAUUUUCUUUGUUCAUGUUGCAAUAUUUUACUUUUAAACAUAUUUUCUAAAUUAUCAUGAAAAUUAAGAUAAAUCUGGAGGCGUGCUGCUUUAAAACAUUGCUAAGAUGAAUCCGCAUUGAUUGCCACUGGUCUAGACAAAAACAAUAUUUUUUGGUGGUUGUGACAAAAUAAAGUGCUAUACAUUUGGAUGUGCUAUACAUAUUCCAACCAAAAAGUGUUAACAUUAUUUAAAAAGAAACAAAAUAAUCUUAAAGAAUUUGAAAUUGUUGGUGCUAUUUUCUUACUGUUUACCAUGAAAUGUAUUUUUACACUGUAAAUGAACACAGUUACUUGAAAUAUUUUUUACUGUUAAUACUGUAUUAGUAUACCACUUUAAACCAAGUAAAUCAAUUACAAAGUCUCUCUGGACAUAUAUUUUUAUAAAUAAGCUUUUUAGAAUAAUGUAUAUGUGUUCAACUUAACACCAAGUAAAUAUAAUGCAAAGUCUAGCUGGACAUAUGUAUUAAUGCAUCAGCUGUUUAGUAGUUAUUUUACAAUAGCCAUUGCUUUGGAGACUCAAUAAACCUAUCAAUUUUUCAUUUUUGUUGCACAAUAGCAAAGGAACUAAAGUCUACAAACAGUAUAUGAGAUGUUUGCAUUUAUUUCAAUCAUCUGUCAAUGAAAUUGAACAAAUAAAGAGUUUUUAGAGAACUUUUUUUCAAUAAAUAUCACAUCAUAUUUUCUGUAGGCCAAACCAUAUAUUAAAGACAUGGAAUGUGUUUAUGAUUUUAAAAUCAUUGGGAGUUGAUUUCAGAUAUUCAAGCAGACUUUUUUGUGGGUAAUUCUAGGUUUUGAUGUUAAUUAAGGAUUGUUGUUUUGUCAAGACUGUUUAUCAUUUUAUGAAGUCCUCAUUUGUGUUACACACUGUCCUCAGUUAGAGGCAUACACCCUUGUCCUCAUUUGUAAGUACACAGAAUACAUAUAAUAUAUUUGUUGUUAUUUUUUUGUGUGUAUGUGAAAUCAAAUGAUUUCUUUAAGUGAGCAUCAGGUGUGAUAUUUUCACAACUGGCCAUAAGUUGAAAUAGAAACAUCUGGUGUUCACCAAAGGGAAUUAUUUAGGUACCAAAAAUUCAGUUAUUUCUGGCAUUUAAUGGUCAUUUUCAAAAACAGUCAGUUAGUUCUGUAAAAUUUUCGAGUUGUGCUUAUGGCAGUAAUUGUGUUAAUUUGCAUGAUGAUUGCUUAUUUAAACAUGAGAAAAAAAAUUGAAACAUUUAUUGUUACUUUUUAAGGCGUACCUAGAUAUGAAGCAAAUCUAUUCAAUGUAAUAAUAAUAUAUCCAGUAAAAAAAACAUCAAAAAUAUGAGAUGUGACUUUAAAUUUGGGUUUAAUUGUCAUAAUUUUCACAUUUAUGCACGGAUUUAUUUAAUACUUGGAGAAAACAAGACUUGCAAUAAAGGCAAUACUUAUUGAAUAAAUUAAAUGUGGUCUUGACCUUCAAUUGACCUUGACAGUCAAGGUCAAAUUAGUGAAAUUCUCUUAUUUUUUCAUAGCAAUAUUAUUUGGAUCAUGGACACAUCACCUGAAAUGUUCUUGCAUAUUAGAGAUAAUUUUCUACUGUUUUCACUGGUGCUAGAAUAACAUGUCUUUCACCCCCUUUGUACACAACUCUCAUGCUUUAAAUGAUUUUAUUAUCAUGUACGUUUAAUGAAUGAGUUAAAUGCUUAGUUUGACACAUCAUUUUUGCGCCAUGUAUGAACCUUUAAAUUCACUGUACUAUAAGAAAAGAUUGCUGUAUUAGUUUCUGCAAUUUCUUUCCAAAAUAUUAUUCUUAUGUGAUAUGCAAGAAAAAGAACAAACAGUGGCUGCCCAAGAAAAAAAAAAUUAAAACUGGUACAGACAGAGAUAUCCAGCUCUUGGGUAACUGUCCUACCUGACCUGAAACAGUUACCCUCGAGCCAAGCUGGAUAUUCCUGUCAAUAUUGGCUACUAGAGUAAGGUUCUUUUAUAAACAACUUUCUAAAAGUAUAUAGACAGAGAACAGAGUAAUUAAAUAAAUAUACUUUUAGAAAGUUGUUUAUAAUUUGCAAUGUUGUUUGAAAUCCUACGAAUAUGAAUAAAUAAUUGUAUUAGAUGUGUUGAAAGUAUUGUAUUAGAUGUUCUAAAAGUAUAUAGACAGAGAACAGAGUAAUUAAAUAAAUAUACUUUUAGAAAGUUGUUUUAGGGGCGUCCGUGGCCGAGUGGUUAAGGUUGUUGACUUCAAACCACUUGCCCCUCACGGCUGUAGGUUCGAAUCCCGACAGGGACUUUGGAUUCUUUCAUGUGAGGAAGCUAUCCAGCUAGCUUACGGAACGUCGGUGGUUCUACUCAGGUGCCCGUUCGUGCCUGAAAUAAUGCAAGGAAGGGCACCUGAGGUCUUCCUCUACCAGUAAAGCUGGAACGUCGCGAUAUGACCUAUACUGUGUCGAUGUGACUUAAAACCCAAAAAAAAAAAAAAAAAAAAAAGAAAGAAAGUUGUUUAUAAUUUGCAAUGUUGUUUGAAAUCCUACGAAUAUGAAUAAAUAAUUGUAUUAGAUGUGUUGAAAGUCUGUUUGCUUGUUUCUCAAAUAGUUGCCCUACUUUGGAUAUUUUGGUAUCACAUAUUUUUGCCAUAUUAGCCCAAGAUGAAGUGAUUUUGUUUUGGUGCAAGUGAUUUUAGUCAUUUUCACAGCCGUGGACUGAAAAAUAUGACUUCAAAUUUUAUC